AAUUUCUGAAAUCAUUGCGUGUGUUUAUUUGAAUGGUCUUAGCCCGUCAUAUGCUUUUACUAUGGAAAGGCUUCUGAAUCUCUUGGCAUGACUAUAUCAUUAUAUUCUGUACUUUGGUGUGAUUGUUCUGCUUUUGAUCUGGUAGACUUUGGGGAUUUGCAUCCUUUCUCAAAGAGAAACUGUGGUGUUUUACUAGCUUCAAAACUGAUAAACAUUUGCAAUGCUUUUUUCUGCAUUCCUCUGGGACUGGUGGCCAUAUGCUCAUUAAAAUACCGGUAUUGGUUGUAUUGCCAUUGUCAAUCAGAACGAUCAGUUUUUGCCUGACAGUCUCUUCUAACAUAGUCUUUUAAUCAUGUUAACUAGCAGAAGCAAUAUAUCCAUAUUAUAUAAUUCAUCUUCUCAGUAGGUUUAGCUUUGUUCCCCAACCAGACCCUGUAUUUCAGCAUCAAAAAUCCAUGGCACAUUUUAUCAAAAAGAUGCAUUUCUUUUGAGCUGUUACUCUGUUUACAGUCCUUCCUAAUUUAAUUAACUCAGAUUCAUAAUGCCUGUCACAAGUGACAAAAAUAAUUAAUUCUGAAAUUUGGACUGUGGGGCUUUAUGUGGAAUACUUACCUUCAGGGGAUUGUCUCAAAAACAUGUUGGGUCAUCGUUUAUUGUGUCUGAGUCUAAUAGCGUGCCAAGUUUUGUGAUCUUUCAGUUAUGAUAUUUGAAUGAUGUAGGAAGCAAAAGAAAAGUAAUGAUUCCAUUUGUAUUAUAUUUUCAGUCAACGGUGAAGGAACACUUUGCACCGGGGGCUACAAACAUGCUAAUUACAAUAUGUACCAUGAAGCCUGCUAAACAGAAAUAGGUUACAUUUCCAAAACUGGGUGAAAGUUGCUUAUGCAAACAAGCAAUUAAAGAAACCAAUGAGACUGGCAUGCUCAAAUAGAAUAAAUCCAUACUUGCAAGUUGUUUUUUUUUCCUCUAAUUCUGUAUGAAUUUUUCUGAGACCAUUUGUGUAUAAGGCUUGUGCGUUUUUCAGGUACUGAUAUUACCGUAAUGCUUGAAAUAUGCGGCUAAAAUGACGAAGUCCUUGUAAGCAAAAAUGUGAGCAUCUAAUGUAAACCACUUGCUUCAGACACUGCUAUCUGCUCUAAGUGCAUCUCAGGAAAAAAGCAGUCUGCUGGUAACAGUAAUAUAAUAUACAGAUGUCUGGAUUAAUUGCUGACUGCAGAGAAAAUAGAGACAGAUUCAAAAUGGUUUGAAAGGAAGAAGGCAUAUUCUUCACUCGUUUAAGCAGAUCUGAGAUCAGGCUUGUUACUAUCAAACCUGAGAAUUUGAACACAUGAGCGAUGUAUUAAUCCCAAUUUCAGAUUGUUAUCUGACUGAUGUGGAUAGAAAAAAAUGCUUUAUUGAUGAAGGAAAUUUUUGAAAACAAGAAUAAGGAACCACGUCUCUUGAUUGCUGUGGGUUGACAGUAUUAAUAGAUGAACAUCAGUCUACUCUUUUGGUGAAAGAAGACCAGAAAACUUAUUCCUUAUUAAAGAAGAUGCGAAGCUCAGAAAGACUCACAGGACUAACUCCUUGGAGAGGAUGAAAUAAGAACAAGCUUAGCCUGGACUGUGUUUAGAGUGAUUUCAGAACAACCGAUCGAACCUGAAGUGUUCCACUCAUUGACUAGUGCGACUAUAUUUUCUUGAGAUGGCUGACUCUCACGUUUCUCUUCCUCAGGACAUCUGAAUGGACCAAAGGUAGUUAUUUCUUUCAAGCUGUUUGUCAGAAAGGUGAUUCCAAACGAACUUCCAAGAAACUGAAGCUGAUGAGCAGAUUCCAAGCAGAGCAGUGUUACCAUGGCCAUACAACAGGCAUACCAUGACUGGAGGAGAUUGCUCUGCAAAGAACAGACUCUUUGGAGAAAUACCACAGAACCACUCAUAUUGAUGUGAAACAUGCUUUGCAGAUGCAGCAGGUAUAAUCACAGAAUCACAGAACCACAGUAAAGCUUUUAGUCUUUGCAUAUCUGCUAGAUUUUCAAAAGAAAACAUAUACCUACUAAAAUACGAGUCUCGGGGCUUAAUGGACCAAUGAAGGGCGUCAGCUUCAUACUGUCUUUGAGGCCAGUGAUCUUUGAGUACUCAACAGUUUCCGAUCUGGUGGACUGCAAGUCUCAGACUCAGGAGGUCUCCCAGUGGAAGACUAAUGUUCACAAUUCAACAAGAUUGUUGAUCAUCAGUGAGAAGAGCCAGCAGGUUAUUUAAAGCUUUGGAAAAAAAAGUAUUGAAAAGGAAGAGUUCCAGUUACUUAACCUAUCCAAUGAAAGAGAAUGACUGUGUUGGAUAAGAAGAGUAAAUGAGCCAGUGCAGCUCACAGGAAAAUGCACUUAGCUACUUGCUAUGAGGAGCUAUGUAUAUCCAUACAUAUAGGACUUCAGGUAUGUGUUUGAUACCCAUUGUCCUCAGUGAGCCAAAAGCGUAUCCUGGAGUGUUUUGCUGAACUGAGCCCAGGUUCAUUGAAGUAUUUUUAUUUUUCAUCAAGUAGUACUUCUUGACCACGAUUCUGUGACUAUUUUGGGGAGCCACAAUAAAUGGGAGCAAUCCAGACAAUGAUUAAGCAGUCAAAAUUGAGCUGUUUCUCUCUGACUCCUUCCUUGUUUUUUAGUUUACUUCUAUUUUUACUGUGAAGGAGGCAGAAGUGGAAGGGAGCUAGUGCUAGUGUAUCAGACGUGUUUCUUCCUUUCAGAAAGGAACUUGACAGCUAAUGCUGUGAAGUCUUGUCUCUGCAGUGUCUCUCAGAACCUGGUAGGAGAGGUUGGGCAGGAUGGAUACUGAUAUUGUUCAGUAUGAACACACAAAUGACAUGCAUCUUGAUGUUACCCUUUUUUCAGAGCCCAGAGGUUCAUGGGUUUUUCAAGUGCUGUCACACUCAUUGAUUUGAAGGAAGGAAGCCCUAAAGCAGGGAGGUCGUUUAAGUUGAAAAAAUAAUUGGGCAGUAUGUCAGGAUUUGCAUGUAGCCAUGCUGCUAAGUUGUUUAGCAAUGAAUUAAAAAAGAUGAGUUUGUGAAAUGAUACCACAAAACACAUGUGACAAUUUAAUCAUCUUAACCUUUAUUCACGAGAAGGUUGUACCAAGGUAACUGUAUAGUUACAGUAAUACUAACCUCCCCCUUAUCCUUUCUGACUAGCCAGUCAUGUUUGUGCGUGCGUAGUCAUCUGUGUUGUGAGCUGUUGAGGUUGCAGGAACUGUUCUGUAGCAGUCAGACUUUGCUUGUAGAAAGAAAUGUUGUGUAAAGUAUAUUUUAUAUCAGUCAUUAUCAUUGUGGUCAUUAUUGAGCUUUGUAGCAGUGUAUUGGUGAAAAACACAUGUCCUGACUGGAGACGUCAUACCGGUCCCAAUUUGUAGGUGUAGACUGCUGUGUUCGCAGAACUGCCCCUAGCACCUCCAUGGCAGUUUUUGUCCAACAUUUCACAGGCAAAAAGUGGUUAACAUGAGGAUCUCAAUUAUCUUGUUGCUGGUGCAUGUCUUAUUUAUGUGUUAAAAAUAUGAGAUAAGAGUUUGUCUUCUGAGAAUUACAGAUUGUUCCUUUAGCUGAGGAAAUGAGUUAUACUGCCCUGCACUGUUGCAUUAUGUAUGUAUUUGUUGCUUCAGGUAGGUUAGACUGUAUCGCUGUGUUAUAAGAGCUUUUAACACUUAAAAAAAUGUUUUAGUUCACUAUUUCAUUAUUUAGAAAAAAAUGCACUAUCUUCCUCUUUAGAGAAAGAGGCCUAAACAAAUAUCAAACAUGUUACUUGUAUUUUGUAGUUUUGUGAUGUUAAUUCUCUGAAUGCCUUAAUAUUUGUUGGGAAGGUUCUAAUUUUACUGUUCUUGUCAUUUAUUACCUUGAGAAUUGUUGUUUUAUUUUUAUGGCAAAUCUAUUAUGAGUUUAUAUAAUAUUAUGUUUUUAAUCAGCAGUGCUUCAGAUGAUACUCCAGCUCAGUGGUAAGAGCUUGCUUUAGCUCAAAUGAUAUUUUCCCAAAGCACGUAGUAAUGCAUCUACUUAUUCAAAGUCAUUGCCACACUAAGAAGUGUAAUUACAGACUGUAUGGAGACUCUUGAUAAGAAAAUGGAAAAAAAUGUAUCAGCAAGAUCAAAGAAGCACCUGAAGUUAAUUAUAAAUUAGCAGUCAAGUGUAGCCAUCAAAAUACUUUAAUUAUUACUGGAAGUUUAAAAAAAUCCAGCAUUAUCUUGCAUGUUAGUUAAUUUUACUGCUAAGUCCUCUCAUUGUAUUCAUUUACACCUAAAAUAACUGAAAGAUGAAUUGUUUCCAGCCUAAGAGAAAGGUAAUA